rnacentral:misc_RNA from 1 species
AAGCACUUCAAGAUAAAGAAAAUGGCAGAAGUUACUAAAAAUUCAAUGGAAAAUUCAGAAAAUGAAUCAAAAUACGCCAACCAAAGUGACAAAGGGGGAGAUGGCAAUACAUUAUCUGACAACCAGAAAGAAAAAGACAAGAGGGAUUCAAAAUCCUCCGGCUCUAUGCCCGUGAUCGGAGAGCAUUACCUUGUGAGACGUCCAGACGGAACAUGGCAUGCAGCAGAGAUCAUACAGAGCAGAGGUAGCGAUCAUGGUAGUGGAAAGAUGCCAAGAUCUACUGUCAGAAUCUGUGUUUACUGGCAAAGUUGUUUUUGGAUCACAAGACUCUAUACUUUGAUGUGGAACCCUUCAUGUUUUAUAUACUAACAGAAGUAGACAGGCAGGGCUGCCAUCUUGUGGGCUACUUCUCCAAGGAGAAAGAAUCUCCAGAUGGAAAUAACGUUGCCUGUAUUAUGACACUGCCACCAUUCCAAAGGAAAGGAUAUGGAAAGUUUUUAAUUGCUUUCAGUUAUGAGUUGUCCAAACUGGAGGGAACUGUAGGCUCACCAGAGAAACCUCUAUCAGAUUUGGGCAAGCUCAGCUACAGGAGUUACUGGUCCUGGGUUCUAUUAGAAAUCCUCCGAGAUUUUAGAGGAACAUUAUCCAUCAGAGAUCUGAGUGAGAUGACCAGCAUUACCCAGAACGACAUAAUCAGUACUCUACAAUCUCUCAACAUGAUCAAGUAUUGGAAGGGCCAGCACGUCAUCUGUGUCACGCCGAAGCUUGUAGAAGAACAUAUAAAGAGUGCACAGUACAAACGUCCAGUAUUGACCGUCGACUCUUCCUGCCUUCGCUGGGAACCACCGCGCAAGAACCAGAAACUCCUCAAGAAGUGACAAAGGAAAUAACAUAAAAAAAGACAUUCUGUGGAAGAUUAAGUUCUGGUUUCCUUUCAACCAUUGAUAUCUAAUGCCAGUGAUAUUGAUCCAAGGCAGUGCAUUACUAUAGAAAUGGCUCAUUGGAGAAGAAGAAAAAAAUUCAGUUGACAAUUAUAUACAUGUAACUUGUUUUAAGAUUUUGUGCAAUACUUUUUUGUCAUACUAGUAAAUGAAAAAACCC